rnacentral:rRNA from 1 species
GGGGUGAGCGGCGGACGGGUUAGUAACGCGUGGGAAUAUGCCCGACACUAAGGAAUAGCCUCUGGAAACGGAGAGUAAUACCUUAUACGCCCUUCGGGGGAAAGAUUUAUCGGUGACGGAUUAGCCCGCGUUAGAUUGGAUAGUUGGUGGGGUAAUGGCCUACCAAGUCUACGAUCUAUAGCUGGUUUUAGAGGAUGAUCAGCAACACUGGGACUGAGACACGGCCCAGACUCCUACGGGAGGCAGCAGUGGGGAAUCUUGGACAAUGGGCGCAAGCCUGAUCCAGCCAUGCCGCGUGAGUGAUGAAGGCCUUAGGGUCGUAAAGCUCUUUCGCCAGAGAUGAUAAUGACAGUAUCUGGUAAAGAAACCCCGGCUAACUCCGUGCCAGCAGCCGCGGUAAUACGGAGGGGGUUAGCGUUGUUCGGAAUUACUGGGCGUAAAGCGCGCGUAGGCGGAUUAGUCAGUUAGAGGUGAAAUCCCGGGGCUCAACCCCGGAACUGCCUUUAAUACUGCUAGUCUUGAGUUCGAGAGAGGUGAGUGGAAUUCCGAGUGUAGAGGUGAAAUUCGUAGAUAUUCGGAGGAACACCAGUGGCGAAGGCGGCUCACUGGCUCGAUACUGACGCUGAGGUGCGAAAGUGUGGGGAGCAAACAGGAUUAGAUACCCUGGUAGUCCACACCGUAAACGAUGAAUGCCAGUCGCCGGGUAGCAUGCUAUUCGGUGACA